rnacentral:rRNA from 1 species
AUGGUGGCUUCUGAUUUGCCUGGAUCAACCGGUGACGUCGGAAUUGACAAGCUGCAGGUUUUGGCCGAGCAGAGCUGCUGUUUGUUUCACUCCAUGCUUGCGAUGGCUGAUGGUACCAAGUUCCUCCUUUUGUUCCUCCUCUUGAACAGCUCAACGUUGUGUUUUGGUUCUGGACAAGAUAUCCAGUGCUUGAAGUCUGUAUAUCAAUCAGUAAUUGAUCCCAACGGUGUACUCAAAUCCUCUUGGAACUUUGAAAAUGCCACCAGCGGUUUCAUAUGCCGCUUUACUGGUGUGGAAUGCUGGAACCCGGACGAGGACAGGGUUCUCUCUCUCCGACUCGGCAAACUAGGACUGGAAGGCACAUUCCCUCAGGGUCUACAAAAUUGUUCAAGCAUGACCGGCCUGGACCUGUCGAAUAACAAUUUUUCAGGACCGAUCCCUUCCGACAUUUUACAGUAG